rnacentral:rRNA from 1 species
GCUGGUGGGAUGCUUUACACAUGCAAGUCGAACGGCAGCAUGGAGAGCUUGCUCUCUGAUGGCGAGUGGCGAACGGGUGAGUAAUAUAUCGGAACGUGCCCAGUAAUGGGGAAUAACUAAUUGAAAGAUUAGCUAAUACCGCAUACGACCUACGGGUGAAAGCAGGGGAUCUUCGGACCUUGCGUUAUUGGAGCGGCCGAUAUCUGAUUAGCUAGUUGGUAGGGUAAAAGCCUACCAAGGCGACGAUCAGUAGCUGGUCUGAGAGGACGAUCAGCCACACUGGAACUGAGACACGGUCCAGACUCCUACGGGAGGCAGCAGUGGGGGAUU